CCACGCCGCCUCACGUCACACAUGCCUCUGCCUCUUCUCUGAGCACUGAGCUCCACCAUUUCCAGCGGGUCCACUGUCCACCGUCCAACCAACCUCCACUCUCCUCCCGACAUCGACCGAUUAACCAUCGCAGCUAACUCGAGUCAUCGAUCAUCAUUACGUUGUGGAUGCGCGACUUAGUUAGCAAUGCCGACUCCUCCUCACCUCACUGUCGCUCUCUAGUCUCUCUGUCACCGGUGGAUUUGUAGUUUUCUCCCAAGGUUUUUUCAAUUUCUCUAGCUUCUAACCCAAAUCCUCUCUCCCAGUACUUGCUUCUUUGUGUUGUUGACAUUUUUUUCGCUUUCUGAUGUGUUGCAUGCAAGAAGACCCUCUUCGCGGCCUCCACACAAUUGUCGGUGUCGGUCGUCGCUCUCCACGCAAUCGUCGGUCGUCGCUCUCCAGUCCAUUGGCUCUCCGCGCCGUCAGCAACUUGGUUGUCCUCAAUCCUCUGUC
rnacentral:lncRNA from 1 species